rfam:Fusarium oxysporum f. sp. lycopersici 4287 chromosome 13, whole genome shotgun sequence.
GCGGGUUUAGCUCAGUUGGGAGAGCGUCAGACUGAAGUUAAACUUCAUCACCGAUAUCUGAAGGUCGUGUGUUCGAUCCACACAAACCGCA